rnacentral:rRNA from 1 species
UACAGAGGGUGCGAGCGUUAAUCGGAAUUACUGGGCGUAAAGGGUGCGUAGGUGGUCAGUUAAGUUAGAUGUGAAAUCCCUGGGCUUAACCUAGGAAUGGCAUAUAAUACUGAUUGGCUAGAGCUUGGGUGAGGGAAGUGGAAUUUCCGGUGUAGCGGUGAAAUGCGUAGAUAUCGGAAGGAACACCAGUGGCGAAGGCGACUUCCUGGCCCGAUACUGACACUGAGGCACGAAAGCGUGGGGAGCGAAC